rnacentral:rRNA from 1 species
AUUUCAAGGAAGUUUUCGGAUGGAAUUGAAUUGACUUAGCGGCGGACGGGUGAGUAACGCGUGGGUAACCUGCCUCAUACAGGGGGAUAACAGUCGGAAACGACUGCUAAUACCGCAUAAGCACACAGUGCCGCAUGGUACAGUGUGAAAAACUCCGGUGGUAUGAGAUGGACCCGCGUCUGAUUAGGUAGUUGGUGAGGUAACGGCCCACCAAGCCGACGAUCAGUAGCCGACCUGAGAGGGUGACCGGCCACAUUGGGACUGAGACACGGCCCAAACUCCUACGGGAGGCAGCAGUGGGGAAUAUUGGACAAUGGGGGAAACCCUGAUCCAGCGACGCCGCGUGAGUGAAGAAGUAUUUCGGUAUGUAAAGCUCUAUCAGCAGGGAAGAAAAUGACGGUACCUGACUAAGAAGC